GUCGUCAGCUCGUGUCGUGAGAUGUGGGUUAAGUCCCGCAACGAGCGCAACCUCGUUCUAUGUUGCCAGCACGUAAUGGUGGGAACUCAUGGGAUACUGCCGGGGUCAACUCGGAGGAAGGUGGGGAUGACGUCAAAUCAUCAUGCCCCUUAUGUCUUGGGCUUCACGCAUGCUACAAUGGCCGGUACAAAGGGCUGCAAUACCGUAAGGUGGAGCGAAUCCUAAAAAGCCGGUCCCAGUUCGGAUUGAGGUCUGCAACUCGACCUCAUGAAGUCGGAGUCGCUAGUAAUCGCAGAUCAGCAACGCUGCGGUGAAUACGUUCCCGGGCCUU
rnacentral:rRNA from 1 species